rnacentral:rRNA from 1 species
GACGAACGCUGGCGGCGUGCUUAACACAUGCAAGUCGAACGGAAAGGCCCUGCUUUUGUGGGGUGCUCGAGUGGCGAACGGGUGAGUAACACGUGAGUAACCUGCCCUUGACCUUGGGAUAACUUCAGGAAACUGGGGCUAAUACCGGAUAGGAGCUCCUGCUGCAUGGUGGGGGUUGGAAAGUUUCGGCGGUUGGGGAUGGACUCGCGGCUUAUCAGCUUGUUGGUGGGGUAGUGGCUUACCAAGGCUUUGACGGGUAGCCGGCCUGAGAGGGUGACCGGCAACAUUGGGACUGAGAUACGGCCCAGACUCCUACGGGAGGCAGCAGUGGGGAAUAUUGCACAAUGGGCGGAAGCCUGAGGCAGCAACGCCGCGUGCGGGAUGACGGCCUUCGGGUUGUAAACCGCUUUCGCCUGUGACGAAGCGUGAGUGACGGUAAUGGGUAAAGAAGCACCGGCUAACUACGUG